AACGAACGCUGGCGGCAGGCCUAACACAUGCAAGUCGAGCGCACCCUUCGGGGUUAGCGGCGGACGGGUGAGUAACGCGUGGGAACGUGCCCUUCUCUGCGGAAUAGCCUCGGGAAACUGAGAGUAAUACCGCAUACGCCCUUUGGGGGAAAGAUUUAUCGGAGAAGGAUCGGCCCGCGUUGGAUUAGGUAGUUGGUGGGGUAAUGGCCCACCAAGCCGACGAUCCAUAGCUGGUUUGAGAGGAUGAUCCGCCACACUGGGACUGAGACACGGCCCAGACCCCUACGGGAGGCAGCAGUUGGGACUCUUACACGAUGCGGGCGACCCGGAUCUAGCCGUGCCGCGUGAGUGAUGUAGGCCUUAGGGUUGUAAAGCUCUUUCAGCUGGGAAGAUAAUGACGGUACCAGCAGAAGAAGCCCCGGCUAACUCCGUG
rnacentral:rRNA from 1 species